rnacentral:rRNA from 1 species
UACGUAGGGUGCAAGCGUUAAUCGGAAUUACUGGGCGUAAAGCGUGCGCAGGCGGUUCCGCAAGUCAGAUGUGAAAUCCCCGGGCUCAACCUGGGAACUGCAUUUGAAACUACGGAGCUAGAGUGUGUCAGAGGGGGGUGGAAUUCCACGUGUAGCAGUGAAAUGCGUAGAGAUGUGGAGGAACACCAAUGGCGAAGGCAGCCCCCUGGGAUGACACUGACGCUCAUGCACGAAAGCGUGGGGAGCAAACAGG